rnacentral:rRNA from 1 species
UAUAAAUGUAAAUUUUUGUACUAAAUUAGUAUUAGUUAUGAUCUUUAAAGUUAAAGAAUUUGGCGGUAUUUUAGUCUAUUUAGGGGAACCUGUCCUAUAAUCGAUGAUCCACGAUUUAUAUUACUUAUUUUAAUUAGUUUGUAUACCGUCGUAGUUAGAAUAUUUUAAAAGAAUUAAAUAUUCAAGAUUCUUUAUGAUGAAGGAAAUCAGAUCAAGGUGCAGCUUAUAAAUAAGGAGAGAUGGGUUACAAUAAAUUUAUUUACAUGGUUAAUUAUUUUAAAAAUAAUUAUUAAAGUGGACUUAAAAGUAAUAAGAUUAAAUUUAAUUUUAUGAUUUUAGCUCUAAAAUAUGC